rnacentral:misc_RNA from 1 species
CACAGCUCAGUUAACGAAAGUAUUAGUGGGUAGUUUGCUUCAAAAAGAAUAACUAUGACCAAUUACUUUAAAAUUGUCUUCUCUUUGAUACUUUUAUUUAAUUUUUAUUGGAUCACUCUAGCUCAUAAAAAAAAUGCUGACUAUUUUCAAGAUACUUUGGGGCACUUGAAAUCAACAGCUUCUGCUGAAGAGCAAACUGAAGCAGCUCAAAAAUUAAUUCAGAGAAUUAUUGAAACUAAAUCAAAUCGGUUCCAAGUUUCAGUUGAUCCAACAAUAGGCCCCGAUGGAAAAGAUACUUUCAAGAUUAUCAAACUUUCUAAAGACAGAGUUAAGAUAACAGGAACAACUGGCGUUGCAGUAGCUUGGGGUUUUCAUUAUUAUUUGAAAACUUAUUGCAAUUCUCAUAUAUCAUGGGAAGGCAAACAGAUUAGCUCAUUGGACAUAUUGCCUGAUGUAAAUGAAACUGUUACCUCUAACGAUAGGUUUCGAUAUUAUCAAAAUGUUUGUACAGCUGGAUAUAGUUCUACUUGGUGGAACUGGGAUCAAUGGGAGAAAAACAUUGAUUGGAUGGCCUUGAAUGGAAUUAAUCUCGCUUUGGCUUUUCAUGCUCAAGAAGCAAUUUGGGAGAGGGUAUAUUUUGAAUUAAAUCUAACAAGAAAUGAAAUCGAUCAACACUUUGCAGGACCAGCAUUUCUACCAUGGGCAAGAAUGGGUAAUAUCAGAGGCUGGGGUGGUCCAUUACCUCCAUCGUGGCACAAUUUUACUAUCACUCUGCAGCAUAAAAUACUCAAUAGAAUGAGGAAACUUGGAAUAAUUCCAGUUUUGCCAGCUUUUGCUGGUCAUGUACCUCAAGCAUUUCGUAGACUGUAUCCCAACGCCAAUAUGACAAAAAUAAAUUCUUGGAAUGGAUUUGAUGACAAAUACUGUUGUCCGUAUCUAAUAUCACCACAAGAUCCGCUUUUCAAAAUUAUUGGAAAAAAAUUUCUUCAGACGUAUAUAAAAGAAUUCGGAACUAAUCAUGUGUAUAAUUGUGAUACAUUCAAUGAAAAUGAACCUUUGGAUGGUGAAUUAAAUUCGUUGAGAAGCGUUGGACAAGCCAUUUAUUCAGCUAUGACAGAUGUUGAUCCACAAGCUAUUUGGAUGCUCCAAGGAUGGCUAUUUGUAAAUGAAUUUUAUUUUUGGACGAGAGAUCGAGUCAAAGCUUUCAUUACUUCAGUUCCAAUCGGUAAAAUGAUUAUCCUCGAUCUCCAAUCAGAACAAUUUCCACAGUAUGACAAAUUUGAUUCAUAUUAUGGCCAGCCCUUUAUCUGGUGUAUGCUCCACAAUUUUGGAGGCACGUUGGGUAUGUUUGGUUCAGCUGCAAUUAUUAAUGAGCGAGUAUUCGAAGCGAGAAAUAUGAAUGGAAGUACAAUGAUAGGUACUGGUCUGACACCUGAAGGAAUUAAUCAAAAUUAUGUGAUAUAUGAUCUAAUGAAUGAAAUGGCAUAUAGAAAAAGACCAGUUAAUCUUGAUCAAUGGUUCAAAAAUUAUGCAUCUAGAAGAUAUGGAUGUAAGAAUGAGUAUGCAGUAGAAGCAUGGAAGUUUUUACAAAACUCUGUUUACAAUUUUAAUGGUACUCAGAGGAUUCGAGGACAUUAUGUGAUAACGAGAAGACCAAGUAUGCGCAUCAGCACCUACACAUGGUAUGAUCCAUCAUCAGUAUAUAACGCUUGGAAGUUUCUGCUUAAAGCUCGAAUUGGUCGAGGAUCUAAUUUACUAUAUCAACAUGAUCUAGUUGAUGUUACUAGACAAGCACUACAAUUAAUUGCUGAACAUGUAUAUCUCAAAAUACAAAAAAGUUUCCAUGAAAAAGAUUUAGCCGCAUUCAAAGCACAAGCCAGCUUGUUACUGCAAAUAUUUAGUGAUUUAGAAAGCAUUUUAAGCACCAAUAAAAAUUUCCUAGUUGGUAAAUGGAUUAAAGAUGCUCGAUCAUUGGGAACCAAUGUUGAGGAAAAAAAAUUAUACGAGUUCAAUGCUCGUAAUCAAAUAACUUUGUGGGGCCCAAACGGAGAAAUAAGAGAUUAUGCGAAUAAACAAUGGGCCGGAGUCAUGUCUGAAUAUUUUGGAGCCAGAUGGUCGUUAUAUUUAUCAGUUGUAACAUUUGCUUUAGAAUUUCAUAAGCCAGUCAAUCAAUCAAUAUUGUCAACGUUUCUAUUCGACACGGUAGAAAAACCAUUUACCAUGGCUCGUAAUGAGUUUCCAGCUGAACCUAAAGGUAAUUCAAUUGAAAUAUCAUGGAAACUUUGGAAAAAAUGGAAGUUGAGAGAACCAAUGAAAGAAAAGAGGCAAAAACAACCUAUGCUAAAUAAACAUUUAUGUUGAAUUAAAAAUCUUUGAAAUUGAUUAAUUAAUACUUACCAUUUUCUGAUAGGCUAAAAAGCACAUUUGUACAAGUUUUAAUAUGAGAAAUGGAAGGAUAUUCGCUGAAAUUUUAUAUGCCACGAUGAUUGUCAGAAAAUUUUAAGAUUUUUUAAAAUCAAUUAUUUAUUUAAAUAAAGUACUAAAGAUGAG